rnacentral:rRNA from 1 species
AUACGUAGGUGGCGAGCGUUGUCCGGAUUUACUGGGCGUAAAGGAUGCGUAGGCGGAUGUUUAAGUGAGAUGUGAAAUCCCCGGGCUUAACUUGGGGGCUGCAUUUCAAACUGGAUAUCUAGAGUGCGGGAGAGGAGAAUGGAAUUCCUAGUGUAGCGGUGAAAUGCGUAGAGAUUAGGAAGAACACCAGUGGCGAAGGCGAUUCUCUGGACCGUAACUGACGCUGAGGCAUGAAAGCGUGGGUAGCAAACAGGAUUAGAUACCCUGGUAGUCCACGCUGUAAACGAUGAAUACUAGGUGUGGGAGGUAUCGACUCCUUCCGUGCCGCAGUUAACACAAUAAGUAUUCCGCCUGGGAAGUACGAUCGCAAGAUUAAA